rnacentral:rRNA from 1 species
UACGAAGGGGGCUAGCGUUGCUCGGAAUCACUGGGCGUAAAGGGUGCGUAGGCGGGUCUUUUAAGUCAGGGGUGAAAUCCUGGAGCUCAACUCCAGAACUGCCUUUGAUACUGAGGAUCUUGAGUUCGGGAGAGGUGAGUGGAACUGCGAGUGUAGAGGUGAAAUUCGUAGAUUAUUCGCAAGAACACCAGUGGCGAAGGCGGCUCACUGGCCCGAUACUGACGCUGAGGCACGAAAGCGUGGGGAUCAAACAGGAGUUAG